rnacentral:rRNA from 1 species
UACAGAGGGUGCGAGCGUUGAUCGGAAUUACUGGGCGUAAAGGGCGCGUAGGCGGUUACAUGAGUGUGCUGUGAAAGCCCCGGGCUUAACCUGGGAAGUGCAGUGCAAACGAUGUAACUGGAGUAGAUGAGAGGGUGGUGGAAUUUCCGGUGUAGCGGUGAGAUGCGUAGAGAUCGGAAGGAACGUCAAUGGCGAAGGCAGCCACCUGGCAUCAUACUGACGCUGAGACGCGAAAGCGUGGGGAGCGAACAGG